rnacentral:rRNA from 1 species
GACGAACGCUGGCGGCGUGCUUAACACAUGCAAGUCGAACGGGAUUUAGUAAACGGAAGCCUCGGUGGAAGAUUACUAAUGAGAGUGGCGAACGGGUGAGUAACGCGUGAGCAACCUGCCUAUGACAGUGGGAUAGCCUCGGGAAACCGGGAUUAAUACCGCAUAAAAUCGUAGAAACACAUGUUUCAACGGUCAAAGAUUUAUCGGUCAUAGAUGGGCUCGCGUCUGAUUAGCUAGUUGGUGAGAUAACAGCCCACCAAGGCGACGAUCAGUAGCCGGCCUGAGAGGAUGAACGGCCACAUUGGAACUGAGACACGGUCCAAACUCCUACGGGAGGCAGCAGUGGGGAAUAUUGCACAAUGGGGGAAACCCUGAUGCAGCGACGCCGCGUGAACGAAGAAGGUAUUCGUAUCGUAAAGUUCUGUCCUAUGGGAAGAUAAUGACAGUACCAUAGAAGAAAGCUCCGGCUAAAUACGUG